AGCAGCCGCGGUAAUUCCAGCUCCAAUAGCGUAUAUUAAAGUUGCUGCAGUUAAAAAGCUCGUAGUUGAAUUUCGGGACUAAUAUGUCGGUCGUGCCUCCGUACGUACUGGUAUUUUUGGUUUCUCCCUUCUGACGAACCUUGAUGUCAUUAAUUUGGUGUCUUGGGAAAUCAGGACUGUUACUUUGAAAAAUUAGAGUGUUUAAAGCAGGCUCACGCUUGAAUACAUUAGCAUGGAAUAAUGAAAUAGGACGUUUGAUUCUAUUUUGUUGGUUUCUAGGAUCGACGUAAUGAUUAAUAGGGAUAGUUGGGGGCAUUAGUAUUCAAUUGUCAGAGGUGAAAUUCUUGGAUUUAUUGAAGACUAACUACUGCGAAAGCAUUUGCCAAGGAUGUUUUCAUUAAUCAAGAACGAAAGUUAGGGGAUCGAAGACGAUCAGAUACCGUCGUAGUCUUAACCAUAAACUAUGCCGACUGGGGAUCGGAUGAUGUUAAUUUUUAAUGACUCA
rnacentral:rRNA from 1 species